GCGUUCGUGGUGCAGUGGUUUAGCAUUCUGGCCUCCCACUCUCUCAGAGAAUGACAGCCAGGGACCUGGGUUCGAACCCCGGCGGACGCA
rfam:Colletotrichum gloeosporioides Cg-14 contig04552, whole genome shotgun sequence.